rnacentral:rRNA from 1 species
AAGGCGAACUGCUCAGUAACACGUAGCUAACCUACCCUCAAGCCGAGAAUACCCUCGGGAAACUGAGGCUAAUACUCGAUAGAUGAUAAAGGCUGGAAUGCGUUAUCGUCGAAAUUUUGCGUGAGGAUGGGGCUGCGGCGGAUUAGGUUGUUGGCGGGGUAAUGGCCCACCAAGCCGAUGAUCUGUAUGGGUUUUUAGCGAAAGAGCCCAGAGAGGGAAUCUGAGACACUAUUCCCAGCCCUACGGGGUGCAGCAGUCGGGAAUUUUUUGCAAUGCGCGCAAGCGUGACAGAGCGAACCAGAGUGCUUUCCCGUAUUGGGAAAGCUUUUGUCAGAUGUAAAUAUUCUGACGAAUAAGGACUGGGCAAGACUGGUGCCAGCCGCCGCGGUAAUACCAGCGGUCCAAGUCGCAACCACAUUUAUUGGGUCUAAAACAUCCGUAGCUUGCUAUGUAAGUCCCUUGUGAAAUCCGGCUUCUCAAGAGUCGAAGUGCAAGGGAUACUGUAUGGCUAGAGACUGGGAGAUGUAAGGAGUACGGAUAGGGUAAUGGUAAAAUAUGUUGAUCCUUUCUGGACUAACGAUAGCGAAGG